rnacentral:rRNA from 1 species
GACGAACGCUGGCGGCGUGCUUAACACAUGCAAGUCGAACGGAAAGGCCCUGCUUUUGUGGGGUGCUCGAGUGGCGAACGGGUGAGUAACACGUGAGUAACCUGCCCUUGACUUUGGGAUAACUUCAGGAAACUGGGGCUAAUACCGGAUAGGAGCUCCUGCUGCAUGGUGGGGGUUGGAAAGUUUCGGCGGUUGGGGAUGGACUCGCGGCUUAUCAGCUUGUUGGUGGGGUAGUGGCUUACCAGGGCUUUGACGGGUAGCCGGCCUGAGAGGGUGACCGGCCACAUUGGGACUGAGAUACGGCCCAGACUGCUACGGGAGGCAGCAGUGGGGAAUAUUGCACAAUGGGCGGAAGCCUGAUGCAGCAACGCCGCGUGCGGGAUGACGGCCUUCGGGUUGUAAACCGCUUUCGCCUGUGACGAAGCGUGAGUGACGGUAAUGGGUAAAGAAGCACCGGCUAACUACGUG